CUAGUAUUAUGUUUCCUGGUGAGGACCCAAGUUCAGUUCCCAAAACUCAUUUAGAGUGCUUCACCAACUGCCUGUAACUCCAGCUUUAGGGAUUCUGAUGCCUCUGGCUGCGCUGGGCAUCUGCAUUCAGGCUUGUGUAUGCAUAUACACAUGCACAACUUAAAAAUAAUGCAUUUGCUGGGUGGUUGUGGUACAUGCCUUUAAUCCCAGCACUUGUGAAGCAGAAGCAGGUGGAUCUCUGUGAGUUUGAGGGCAGUCUGGUCUACAGAGCACGUUCCAGGAUAGCUAGAGUAAUACAGAGAAACCCUGUCUUGAAAAACUAGAUAGAUACACUUUUAAAAAUUUCAUGCUUUGGGGUAUACCUUAGUAGCACAUCACUGGCAUGCAUUAUGGGGCUCUUGAGUUGAUCCCAGCAGCAGACAUUGGAUAGAGGGAUGAAGGGGAGAAAAGCCCCUCCCCCAAACUUCCACUAGUAAAAGACAAGGAAAAAUUUUUUUAAUGUAUUCCUGAUUUCUAUGCAUUGAUGUUUUGCCUGCAUGUGUAUCUGUAUGAGAGUGUUGGAUCCCCUGGAACAGAUAGUUAUGAGCUGCCAUGUGGCUCCUGGGAAUUUCAUUUGGGUCCUCUUGAAGAUCAGCCAUCUUACCAGCUCUUGUUUUGUUUAUUUUUAAACUACGUCAUCAUGGCACAUACAUUAGACUUACAUAGUAAUUCAAGACUAGUUCGGGCUACAUAUUGAGACCAAGUUUCAAAAUAAAUUUUAUUAUUUCUUGAAUACCAGGAUUAUAAUCGUUCCUCAGGUAGUGGUGGUUUACACUUUUAAUCCCAGUACUCAGGAGAUAGAGACAGGUGAUUCUUUGUGAGUUCCAGGCUAGCCUAGUCUACAAAGCCAGUUCUAGGAUUGCCAGGGCCAUGUCUCAAAAAACAAAAUUUGAGAUAAAUAAAAAUGAUGAAUCAGAGGAGAUUAAAUAAUAAAGGUGGGCUGGAGAGAUAGCUCAGCGGUUAAGAGCAUUGACUGCUCUUCCAGAGGUCCUGAGUUCAAUUCCCAGCAACCACAUGGUGGCUCACAAACAAAAAAGUGGGAUGUGAUGCCCAUUUCUGGUGUGUCUAAAGACAGCUACAGUAUACUCAUAUAUAUUAAAUCUUAAAAGAAAAGAAAGAAAAAAGAAUAAAAGCUGCUCAUGGGAUUCAGCCAAGUGAUAUCUUCUUAACAUUGGAAAAGGGUAAAUAAAUAUGUUACUAUGGGAAACCAUGCCAAUGCCUUCUGAGAUUGCAUUUACCUAUGUAACCUAUACUGUCCUUGAAGUCCUUGAACUCUAGACCUUCUAAUUCAACAUUCUUAGUACUGAGAUUACAAGUAUUUCACCACUCCUGACCCCCUCUGCCUUUGAGCAACAAUCUUUUGUUUUUUCUUAACUUGUAAACAUUGACCUCCCCUUCAUCUCUUCAUUACCUCGACCCUUUGGUUCUUGUGCUUGGGAUAGAACUUAAGGCUUCAAGAAUGCAAGCUAGGCUGCUAUUCUUUCUCUGAGAUAUGGCGUCCAGCCUGUUUUCCUAGUUUAUAAAUACCUUUGCUCUCUGCAUGGAUUAGAACAGGACAUACUGAUUGUGGACAAAUAGUACCCACCACAAUUCAAAGUUUAGUAGGUUUUAACUUUGGUGUCUCUGAAGUAUGUUUUCCUGGGGACUCUGAUCCUGACUUUGGUGGCUAUUGAACCCUCCCUGACAUAUCCAAGUUUAGUUUUAAACAAAUCAAGUUGGCAAGUUGUGUGUGGUGUUUUUGUUUGUUUUCACUUUUCAUUUCUGGGUCUUAAACUGCAUAUUAAAUUCACUUGUAAUGUCUGGAUUCAGAGAUAGUUGUGAGUCUGUGUUUACUCAGUGUUGGCGUUUUGGAACAGGCCACAGUUUAGAGUAGUAAGUUGUCUUCGUCAAAGCCAAGUCAUAUUUGCUUUAUACCAAACAAUAUUAGAGAACUAAAACACAUCAUAAAAUGUAUACUGUUUUGUAUUUCACCUCUUUCAGUAUUUAAUUAUAUUAAUGCCUUCUAGAAUUCUGUUAGAUAAUUCAUUGAUUCCUGAAAUAAAUUGGUAUUGUGUAAUU
rnacentral:lncRNA from 1 species